UACGUAGGGUGCAAACGUUGUUCGGAAUUACUGGGCGUAAAGCGUGUGUAGGCUGUCUCAUAAGUCGGAUGUGAAAGCCCCGGGCUCAACCCGGGAAGUGCACUCGAAACUGCGAGGCUAGAGUAUCGGAGAGGUUGGUGGAAUUCUCGGUGUAGAGGUGAAAUUCGUAGAUAUCGAGAGGAACACCGGUGGCGAAGGCGGCCAACUGGACGAAUACUGACGCUGAGACACGAAAGCGUGGGGAGCAAACAGG
rnacentral:rRNA from 1 species